rnacentral:rRNA from 1 species
UGUGUGUUAGUGGAAGCGUCUGGAAAGGCGCGCGAUACAGGGUGACAGCCCCGUACACAAAAAUGCACAUAUUGUGAGCUCGAUGAGUAGGGCGGGACACGUGGUAUCCUGUCUGAAUAUGGGGGGACCAUCCUCCAAGGCUAAAUACUCCUGACUGACCGAUAGUGAACCAGUACCGUGAGGGAAAGGCGAAAAGAACCCCGGCGAGGGGAGUGAAAAAGAACCUGAAACCGUGUACGUACAAGCAGUGGGAGCCUCUUUUAUGGGGUGACUGCGUACCUUUUGUAUAAUGGGUCAGCGACUUAUAUUCUGUAGCAAGGUUAACCGAAUAGGGGAGCCGAAGGGAAACCGAGUCUUAACUGGGCGUUAAGUUGCAGGGUAUAGACCCGAAACCCGGUGAUCUAGCCAUGGGCAGGUUGAAGGUUGGGUAACACUAACUGGAGGACCGAACCGACUAAUGUUGAAAAAUUAGCGGAUGACUUGUGGCUGGGGGUGAAAGGCCAAUCAAACCGGGAGAUAGCUGGUUCUCCCCGAAAGCUAUUUAGGUAGCGCCUCGUGAACUCAUCUCCGGGGGUAGAGCACUGUUUCGGCAAGGGGGUCAUCCCGACUUACCAACCCGAUGCAAACUGCGAAUACCGGAGAAUGUUAUCACGGGAGACACACGGCGGGUGCUAACGUCCGUCGUGAAGAGGGAAACAACCCAGACCGCCAGCUAAGGUCCCAAAGUCAUGGUUAAGUGGGAAACGAUGUGGGAAGGCCCAGACAGCCAGGAUGUUGGCUUAGAAGCAGCCAUCAUUUAAAGAAAGCGUAAUAGCUCACUGGUCGAGUCGGCCUGCGCGGAAGAUGUAACGGGGCUAAACCAUG